rnacentral:misc_RNA from 1 species
GUCGUAACAAGGUUUCCGUAGGUGAACCUGCGGAAGGAUCAUUACCACACCUUUACCAAAUUCGAAUGAGUGCGUCUUCGGAUGCCUCAUUUCGAACGUUCCGUGAACCGUUUCGUUACUUCUGGGUUGAAACAAACCCCUUCUAUCAUUUUAAUGACAUGAAACUGUUCGCAGUGAAUUGUUGACCUUGAAAUAAAAUUCAAUAGGAUGCGAUUAACCUCCAUCUAUAAACUAAUGUCAAAACACUUUCAGCAAUGGAUGUCUUGGCUCCCAU